GACGAACGCUGGCGGCGUGCCUAACACAUGCAAGUCGAGCGGGGUUGAAGCGAGGGGUAACUCGAGUUUCUACCUAGCGGCGGACGGGUGAGUAACGCGUGGGCAACCUGCCUCAAGGACUGGGAUAACAGCUCGAAAGGGCUGCUAAUACCGGAUAAGCCUAUGGCCUCGCAUGGGGCCAUGAGCAAAGGGGAAACCCGCCUUGAGAUGGGCCCGCGUCCCAUCAGCUAGUUGGUGAGGUGAAGGCUCACCAAGGCGACGACGGGUAGCCGGCCUGAGAGGGUGACCGGCCACACUGGGACUGAGACACGGCCCAGACUCCUACGGGGGGCAGCAGUGGGGAAUCUUGCACAAUGGGCGAAAGCCUGAUGCAGCGACGCCGCGUGAGCGAAGAAGGCCUUCGGUGUAAGCUCUGUCUGGAGGGACGAAGGAAGUGACGGUACCUCCGGAGGAAGCCACGGCUAACUACGUGCCAGCAGCCGCGGUAAAGUCACGUCG
rnacentral:rRNA from 1 species